AUGGUGUUUGUUUUACUGCUGCCUGAUAAAACUGUCCUGAGGAGACGCUGCCCUCACCGAAGCUCUGGGAGAUCCCAGCUAAGCUGUAUUUUGUGCAUUUUUCUGGAUCACAUGCACAGGGAGAGACUCCCCCCUCACUCCCCUUUCCCUACUCAUCCUUCUUCCCCUCAUUUGCCCCUCUUCUUCUUUUCCCUCACCUUUUCCCUCCCUCCCCCUGACUCUUAUACCCCUUUACUUAUCCCCUUUCUACCAUCACUUACCUCCUUUCCCUCACUCCCUUUUAAAUCUUUUCCCCUCAUUGACCUCCACUCCCCUCAUUCAUCCCUUUUCCUCCUCACUCACACCCUUCCCACCAUCACUUCAUCUCCCUAUCUCCUUUUUCUUCCUCUCACCCGUUUCCCCUCCUUUCCCACUCGCCCACUCUUUCCCCCAUCCCUUUCCCCUCACUUCUUUCCCCCUCAUCCACCCCCUUGUCUCCACUCACCCAUUUCCACCUCAAUCGCCCUUUCUCCCCCUCAUCCACCCCCUUGUCUCCACUCACCCAUUUCCGCCUCAAUCGCCCUUUCCCCUCACUUUUCCCCCCUCACUCACUCCUUUUCCCCUCAAUCAUCUCCUUUCCCCUCACCUUUUCCCCCUCACUCUUCCCUUUUCCCCUCAUUCAACCCCUUGCACCCAUUCACCCAUUUCCCCCUCACUCGCCCUUUCCCCUCACCCCUCCUUUUUCCCUCUCACCCCUUUACCCUCACUCAUCCUUUCCCCCCCUUCCGAUCUCCUCACUCAUCCUUUCCCCCCCUCACUCCUUUCCCCCUCAAUCACCUCCUUUUCCCUCACCCUUUCCCCUCACUCCCUUUCCCUCAAUCACCCCAUUUCCCCCUCACUCACCCUUUCCCGACUCCUUUCCCCCUCACUCACUUUCCCCUCACUCCUUUUCCCUCAAUCACCUCAUUUUUCCCUCAAUCACCUCAUUUUCCCCUCAAUCACCUCCUUUUCCCUCACCCCUUUCCCCCUCAAUCACCCUCUUCCCCUCAAUCACCUCCUUUUCCCCAUCACUCCUUUCCCCAUCACUCAUUCCCUUUUCCCCUCACUCCUUUUCCCUCAAUCACCUCCUUUUCCCCUCACUCACCCUUUUCUCUCACCCCCUUUCCCCCUCACUCACCCUUUUCCCCUCAUUCCCCCUUUCCCCUCAAUCACCCCCAUUCCCCUCACUCGCUCUUUCCCCUCACCUCUUUCCCCUCACUCCCCCAUUCCCCUCACUCGCCCUUUUCCCUCACCUCAUUCCCCUCACUCCCCCAUUCCCCUCACUCCCUCAUUCCCCUCACUCCCCCAUUCCCCUCACCUCUUUCCCCUCACUCCCCCAUUCCCCUCACUCACUCUCUCCCCUCACUCCCCCAUUCCCCCCCCCCCCCCCCCCCCCCCCCCCCCCCCCCCCCCCCCCCCCCCCCCCCCCCCCCCCCCCCCCCCCCCCCCCCCCCCCCCCCCCCCCCCCCCCCCCCCCCCCCCCCCCCCCCC
rnacentral:lncRNA from 1 species